UCAACUUGUUUGAACUUUUUCUUUUAUUUUUCUUAACGGCAUGCACCCUAAGGGCAGGCUUUCAAUGCGUUGGAUGCUGUGAGUAUUGAUAUUUUUUGUGACUUUUUAAUGAUGACUCUAUUCUCUUCCCCGUCUUAUACGACUAUGCUGAGAAACAGAGGUAAUUCUGUUCGCAACAGAAUAUUUGUGUCCUUUGGGGAUACACAAGUGUACUUGCCAGUGCCAUUUAGUCUGAAUCUGUCUUUUGAAAACUACUUUCUGAUACACUACAACUGACAAUACUUUUUUCUCAGAAACCAAACAACAAUUAUGAAAGCUUCUAUCCGGGUGUGUUAAACUGGUAAGUUGCAUUUUCUUCCCAACUUUUCUGCAGCUUUGUGUCUAUCUAUUAUUCCCUUAUAUGAUGAAAAUUUCCAUACAUUCGCAGUUUCCACUUGAGUGUCCAAUUAGUACUCCCCUAAUGCAGAAUGUUCUUUAUAUUCCCCCUCUAUACCAUGUUGAACCCAUAAAGCAUGUGUUGAGUGUGGGCCAUCUCCAAAAGAGAUGCGCUGGCAGGAAGCAGGGGUUGACACUAUGAGGGUUAUAAUGUCCUUCCNUUGGAUGUCUGAACUACCUUUUCUUUUCACUCUCUUCUUUUUUCUCUUAGAGUGCUGUAACUAAUUGGUCAUAAUCCCCUCCUUGCAGGUACUUAUGGUAUCAGUGAAGUUGUUUAUAUAUUGUACUUCAGUAUAUCAUCAGUAAAGUGGUGCAGUAAGUGUGUUAAAUUAUAACAGUCCAGUCAGUAAAGUGUGUUAAGUUAAUAACAGUCAGUCAGUAUAAGUUAAUAACAGUCAGUCAGUAUAAGUUAAUAACAGUCAGUCAGUAUAAGUUAAUAACAGUCAGUCAGUAUAAGUUAAUAACAGUUCAGUCAGUAUAAGUUAAUAACAGUUCAGUCAGUAAGUGUGUUAAGUUAAUAACAGUUCAGUCAGUAAGUGUGUUAAGUUAUAACAGUUAGUCAGUAAACUGUGUUAAGUUACAACAGUUUGGUCAGUAAGUGUGUUAAAUUAUAGUUACUAAAGAUUGGGAAAAAAGAAGGGUACAUAGUUGGAUUAAGUUGUAAACUAAU
rnacentral:misc_RNA from 1 species